AUGCUCAUUGGUUGUGUGAACGUUCCGAUCAGCCUUGCCAGGGGAGCACUGCGCAUGCGUUUUCCUUCUGAUCGCCGCCAUUCUCCGCUCCCGGCGCUGUUUCUGGUGGUGGCUCCAGGUGGCUCCGCUUUGCCUCUCUGUGAGCCUCCAUCGUUAGCGUCGUUACCGAGUUCUCAGGACGACCAGACGCCUCACAGCUGGACAGUGUUACAGGUGUUGGUGUCAUUUGAAGACCUGGAUUUGGACUUCACCAAGGAGGAAUGGCAGAACAUGAAUCAUUCUCAGAGGACCCUAUACAGGGAUGUGAUGCUAGAAAUCUAUAGCAUCGUGCUGUCCUUGGGGGACCUGAUGAAAUACCAGCUGGAGAGAAACCUCAUGGGCCUAAUGUCACUGGGAACUCACUCCAAUACUCGGAACAUCUUAGUCAGCAUCACCAGAUUCAGAAUAUACAGCAGGCUUUUGAACACAAUGGCCAAGGGAAAACCCGUAACAGGAAGAGAAUAUCCUUUGCAUGUGAGAGGAUUUGUAUGGAAUACACCUCUAAUAAAUCAACUGUUAUUUCAGGAAACAAAACUCUGGUUGAAAGUAAAAAUUUCCAUAAAAAUGUCUCAUUAA
rnacentral:lncRNA from 1 species